GCCCAGGUGGCGUAAUUGGUAAACGCGCAAGAUUGAGGUUCUUGUGGAGCAAUCCGUGGAGGUUCAAGUCCUCUCCUGGGCA
rnacentral:tRNA from 1 species